rnacentral:rRNA from 1 species
UGAGGAACCUGCCCUGGACUUUGGGAUAACCCUCGGAAACGGGGGCUAAUACCGAAUAUGAUACGGUCUCGCAUGAGAUCCGUGUGGAAAGUUUUUCGGUCUGGGAUGGUCUCGCGGCCUAUCAGCUUGUUGGUGGGGUAAUGGCCUAUCAAGGCGACGACGGGUAGCCGGCCUGAGAGGGCGACCGGCCACACUGGGACUGAGACACGGCCCAGACUCCUACGGGAGGCA